CAAGGAUUUGGCUCUGCAUUAGUGUUCCAUCUGGAGCAGAUCUGAUUUCAGUGAUUCUUAACCCUUCCUCCAGCAGUUUCUCUCUACUCCCUAUUACUCAAUUUCUCUGGAGGUUACUGCUUCCUCAGUUGUAUUGGGUGUCCUGACUGGAAGGAUCCAGGUUUAGCUAUCCAGACGUUAUUCUGAUUGUCUUAAAACUCAAAUAGUUUAGUGUAUGAACUGGAUGAUACUUCCUGGGAGACAGGUGGAUGGGAACAAGCAGCUGGAUGCACAGAAGUAAGGGUGCUGAGAACCUCCAGAACUGAGGGAACAUUUAUAGAGAAUUGCUCUCUAUACUGAGUAAGUUAAGAUGCAUGAGCUGUAAUAAUCACCCCUUUUUCUAGGCUAUCAGAACUGUAAGGGAAAAUAAAUUAGCUGAAAACUCUUUCAGUGAUGUAACCCAAGCCCAUAGCUGAGUCCUUACAUUACUUCCCUGCACGUCACAGCUUUGGUCUCUCAGCUUCUCAUCUGUGACACGGGAGCAAGAGGACUUCUCAGCUUCAGGAGAGUGUUGUGAGGGCUAGGCAGGGGACACAGAGGUUGGUUAGCCUCAUAAGGCUGAGCAGCCAGCGUGAUACUGCGUUCCACAUAGUUCCUUAUGUUGUCAGCAGCAUGUGUACCUAGCAUUAAGCCUUAAUGACAUGUUAAGACCUCUUCCUUGCCACUCAAUCUUCUUCAAGAACUGAGAAAGGUUAAAGGAGUGCCAUGUCAAACACGUACCACUGCCCUCUGUUUGCGUUAUGUGCUCUGACAGACAGUAGCAUCCACAUUUGUGUUGGUGCUCCCCUGGUUGGUGCCUACUGACACAAAUCUGUUCCAGCCUUGUCCACCUCUGGCCAGACAGACAACACUUUCUUUUUAGAAAAAGAUAGCGUCAUGUGGAAAAUACUGACAAAAAUGAGCUGCGCUCAUCCUGAUAGAUGACAGCAAGCAGGUACUAGAUUAUGAUUUAUUUGGAGCUGCCUCCUGUGCAGUGCCUAACACAGUGGUUUUCUAGGUCUCCUUAAUGUUAUGGUAAUUUAGGUAAUAAAUAACAGCAGUAUUUGUUCAUGGGCUAAUAAAUUCAUGAAAAUAUUUUGAAGCUGCAAGUAUUUGCUAAUGGCUGGGCAAAGUCUCUAAGCCCCAUAAAAUUAGCUGCCUUUCUGUGGAAACCCUUCACCAUUUUCAGAAAGAUCAAUUUCAUCUUCAAAACAGCUCUUCAGCUUCAGGUCCGUAUUCUCCCCUGAUGCAACAGAGCACAGGUCUGUUGAAAUCGAGAGACCUGCAUCCCCUUAUCUCAGUGGUCUUGGCUAAAACCACAGAGUCAGAGUGGAGGAUCCUUUAUGCAUGCUGCAGUCUCCUUAAGCAGUCUUUGGGCAGCUGAAGAGACCCUGCAGUUCCCUGAAGCACCCGUGCUGGGAUUGAUGGCAAGUACUGCAGGCAUGCAGGAUGUGUGUGGAUCCUGGGUCUUCAUUCUGGGAAGCCAAGGCCAGAAGGGAAGCUGUGAUGGUCACCAGGAAGAUCCUAUUCAAGUUUUACAAGCUUGUGGACAUGUGGUGGUAUGUCCUCACCUGCUGUGUCACUGCAGUAACACCUGCUGCCUUUCAGUAACAGCAGAAACAUCUGACCUUCAAUAGCAGAGCUUUCCCAGCACCAUCUACUAGGUCCUUGGACCACUUGUUGGUUAAAGAGUAUUUCUCUGGACUCCAGCCCUAAAACCAUCCUUUGUGUGUAAGGAGGACAGAAUACCAUGCCAAGCCUGAAAAAAAAAGAGUCCUCUUCCAGUCUCAGCCCCCCUGCAUAGCUGUAUUUCUAUAAUGCAUAUGAAACAAGCCCUCCUUUGAAGGCUUAAAAAGGAGGGCUGAAGU